CCUACGGGAGGCAGCAGUAGGGAAUUUUCGGCAAUGGGGGGAACCCUGACCGAGCAACGCCGCGUGAACGAAGAAGUUAUUCGUAAUGUAAAGUUCUUUUAACAGGGAAGAAAGAGAAAUUUGACGGUACCUGAAGAAUAAGCCCCGGCUAACUACGUGCCAGCAGCCGCGGUAAGACGUAGGGAGAGAGCGUUAUCCGGAAUUAUUGGGCGUAAAGGGUGCGUAGAUGGCAUAGUAAGUCUUUUGUAAAAAUGCUGGGCUCAACCCAGUAGAGCAAAAGAUACUGGAAGGGUAGAGUAUGACAGAGGAAAGUGGAACGAGAUGUGUAGCGGGAAAAUGCGUAAAU
rnacentral:rRNA from 1 species